rnacentral:rRNA from 1 species
GACGAACGCUGGCGGCGUGCUUAACACAUGCAAGUCGAACGGAAAGGCCCUGCUUUUGUGGGGUGCUCGAGUGGCGAACGGGUGAGUAACACGUGAGUAACCUGCCCUUGACUUUGGGAUAACUUCAGGAAACUGGGGCUAAUACCGGAUAGGAGCUCCUGCUGCAUGGUGGGGGUUGGAAAGUUUCGGCGGUUGGGAUGGACUCGCGGCUUAUCCGCUUGUUGGUGGGGUAGUGGCUUUCCAAGGCUUUGACGGGUAGCCGGCCUGAGAGGGUGACCGGCCACAUUGGGACUGAGAUACGGCCCAGACUCCUACGGGAGGCAGCAGUGGGGAAUAUUGCACGAUGGGCGGAAGCCUGAUGCAGCAACGCCGCGUGCGGGAUGACGGCCUUCGGGUUGUAAACCGCUUUCGCCUGUGACGAAGCGUGAGUGACGGUAAUGGGUAAAGAAGCACCGGCUAACUACGUG